rnacentral:siRNA from 1 species
ACGCAGCGGUAAAUGGUGUCA